CGCAUCUGUGCAUGCAGCAUAUCAAUAAGCGGAGGAAAAGAAACUAACAAGGAUUCCCCUAGUAACGGCGAGUGAAGCGGGAAGAGCUCAAAUUUGAAAUCUUAAAGGGUUUCCCUUUACGAAUUGUAGUUUAAAGAAGUGUUUUCUGUUGAGGUUUUGGUAAAAGUUCUUUGGAAUAGGACAUCAUAGAGGGUGAGAAUCCCGUAUUUGACCUUUACUUUCAACUUUGUGAUACACUUUCAAAGAGUCGGAUUGUUUGGGAAUGCAGUCCAAAAUGGGUGGUAAAUUUCAUCUAAAGCUAAAUAUUGGCGAGAGACCGAUAGCGAACAAGUACCGUGAGGGAAAGAUGAAAAGAACUUUGAAAAGAGAGUUAAACAGUACGUGAAAUUGUCAAAAGGGAAGCGUUUGACACCAGUGUUGUUUUUCUGAAAAUCAAUUAAAGAACUGUUUAUGCUAAGUUGUUUAGACUUUAUCAGCUAACUGUUUAGUUUUGAGCUUUUCUUUAAUGCACUUUUCAGUUAACAAGUCAACAUCAAUUUCUUUUGCUGUAAAAAAGCUUGAGGUAGGUGGCUUGAGAUUCGUCUUAAGUGUUUAUAGCCUCUUGCCUAUGCAGUCGGAGAGAUUGAGGUCUGCAGCGUAGAUCCUUCGGGGCUAAAUGCAUUUGUGCUAAGUUAUAGCAUUUUAUAGACAACUUGUUGACUAUGAUUUGUCUUGUAGCUUACUCGCUUAUGUUAUUUUACCUACGCUUAGGAUGUUGAAUCUGUGCGAGACUAC
rnacentral:rRNA from 1 species